CCUACGGGAGGCAGCAGUGAGGAAUAUUGGUCAAUGGGUGCGAGCCUGAACCAGCCAAGUAGCGUGAAGGAUGACUGCCCUACGGGUUGUAAACUUCUUUUAUAAGGGAAUAAAGUGUUGCACGUGUGCCUUUUUGUAUGUACUUUAUGAAUAAGGAUCGGCUAACUCCGUGCCAGCAGCCGCGGUAAUACGGAGGAUCCGAGCGUUAUCCGGAUUUAUUUGGUGUAAAGGGAGCGUAGAUGGGUUGUUAAGUAAGUUGUGAAAGUUUGCGGCUAAACCGUAAAAUUGCAAUUGAUACUGGCAGCAUUGAGUACAGUUGAGGUAGGCGGAAUUCGUGGUGUAGCGGUGAAAUGCUUAGAUAUCACGAAGAACUCCGAUUGCGAAGGCAGCCUACUAAACUGCCACUGACACUGAUGCUCGAAAGUGUGGGUAUCAAACAGGAUUAGAUACCCUUGUAGUC
rnacentral:rRNA from 1 species